UACGUAGGGUGCGAGCGUUAAUCGGAAUUACUGGGCGUAAAGCGUGCGCAGGCGGUAAUGUAAGACAGAUGUGAAAUCCCCGGGCUUAACCUGGGACCUGCAUUUGUGACUGCAUUGCUGGAGUGCGGCAGAGGGGGGAUGGAAUUCCGGUGUAGCGGUGAAAUGCGUAGAUAUCGGAAGGAACACCAGUGGCGAAGGCGGCUACCUGGAUUGACACUGACACUGAGGCGCGAAAGCGUGGGUAGCAAACAGG
rnacentral:rRNA from 1 species